rnacentral:miRNA from 1 species
CCAUUUUUGUGAUUUGCAGCU